rnacentral:rRNA from 1 species
UACAGAGGGUGCGAGCGUUAAUCGGAAUUACUGGGCGUAAAGCGCUCGUAGACGGUUUUGUAAGUCAGAUGUGAAAUCCCUGGGCUCAACCUGGGAACUGCAUUUGAGACUGCAUGGCUAGAGUAUGGAAGAGGGAAGUGGAAUUUCCGGUGUAGCGGUGAAAUGCGUAGAUAUCGGAAGGAACACCAGUGGCGAAGGCGACUCUUUGGCCUGUAACUGACGCUGAGGCGCGAAAGCGUGGGGAGCAAACAGG